AACCGCCGUGUACCGAACGGUACGCACGGUGGUGUGAGAGGUCGAAAUUUCCCAAUGAUGGGAAAUUUCUCCUACUCGAU
rnacentral:ncRNA from 1 species